GGCGGGGUGGGGGGGGUAAUAGUCAAGCUCACCUUCAGGUCCCUUGCUUGUGUGUGGCUACCACCCGACCCCAUCUGGGCUGAGAACACUGAGCCUCUCAGCCUGCCAGUGAGCCAACGGUGAGCUGCAGCCUGUCACUGGAACUUUCUGGAUCUUAGUGAACUCCAUGGUGUCCAGGUCUCUGUGUUCUGGAAAGACAAAUCCCUAAACUCUGUGUCUUCUUGCACACAUCGACAGCUAUUGGGCUGCUCUGGGCCUGUGUGUGCACCUCGAAGGGGAGCUGGUUUGCUUCUCCCCGUGCUUCUGUGGUCCCACUUGCUUCUGCGUGGUCCUGAGUCGUAGGCCCGCAUUCACGAGCGUCUCGGGGGUAGGAUACCUGUGUCUCCCCUAGUUAUUUUGCCAGAUUAUCUCCCUGUGCACAGGCAGGCUUGCAUAAGAGCGAGGAAUUGGAGUCAGACACGGCUGAGUUCAGAUUCAGCUGUGACCUAGCUGUGUAAUUGUAGACAAGGGAUUUAACUUCACUGGGCCCCAGAUUCCUCCUCUGCUCAGCGGUGAUAAUAAUGCCUAUUUCCUAGGUUGUCGUGAGAAGUAAAUGAAAUGAAUAGAAAGCCGGGGUGUGGUGGUGACGGGCACACAGGAGGCAGGUGAUAAAUGGUGGUGAUUACUGGUGCUGGAAUGUUUUUGGCUUCCAGCAGGGCCUCUGUGCUCUGCUUCUGUCCCCAUGUCUCUCCGUCCCGUGAGCCACGCCACAAGGCAGAUACCCCUCUACCAGUGUUCAGAACGGCUGCAAGCAAUUGCCACAGGCUGGCCAAGAAGCCCUUACGGCACCCAGACCGCACGCACCGCUUGUUUCAUACACACAGGAACACGCAUGCAGGAAGAGUAAUGCCCGGGCGUGUGUGCAUUUGGCUUCUCAAAAUCGCCAGGAUUCCCAAAUCGGCCAAACUGCCUGAAGCCCUGAGAAGCAGGACAGGAAGGGCCGGAGAGGUAAACACUGAUGAGAGCAGAGACUGGAGGACAGUGACCCCGACAUGGCACAGCAGAGACCAGCCUGAGCCUCAGGAUGGCUGUGGGCUAGGGAAUGAGGGAAGGAGGAGGAAGUGGGGCCGGGCGUGGGCCUCUCUCUCAAGAGGCUGGCUGUGGGCGCUGGGGGGCUCAGUGGUUGAGCGUUGCCUUCCGCUCAGGGCGGGAUCCCGGGAUCCCGGGGUCCUGGGAUCCGUCCCGUCGGGCUCCCUGCAGGCAGCCCGCUUCUCCCUCUGCCUGUGUCCUGCCUCUCCCUGCCUGUCUCUCAUGAAUAAAUAAAUAAAAUCUUAAAAAAAAAAAAAAGAGGGUGGCUGUGAGGAAAGGGAGCCCAGAGGGCAGUGGGCUCAGGGCACUCCAGCUAACAUGUAGGGACUUGGUAGCUUCAGGGUUGACGGGAAGGAUCCAACACUGCGAAUACAUGGAGUCCGGUGCCCAGAACCACGGGGGGGGGGGGGGGGGGGGCCGCCUCUG
rnacentral:lncRNA from 1 species